UAGCUCAGUACACGUGGAUAUCUGCCCUAUGGCGGAGGAUAACCCCGGGAAACUGGGGAUAAUACUCCAUAAGUCAGGAGUACUGGAAUGUCUCCUAACUGAAAGUUUCGGCGCCAUAGGAUGAAUCUGCGGCCGAUUAGGUAGUUGUUGGGGUAACGGCCCAACAAGCCCGUAAUCGGUACGGGUUGUGGGAGCAAGAGCCCGGAGAUGGAAUCUGAGACACGAUUCCAGGCCCUACGGGGCGCAGCAGGCGCGAAAACUUUACAAUGCAGGAAACUGUGAUAAGGGAACCCCGAGUGCCCGUACACGCGGGCUGUCCCGGUGUUUAAACACAUCGGAGAAAGGGCCGGGCAAGACCGGUGCCAGCCGCCGCGGUAAUACCGGCGGCUCGAGUGGUGACCACUUUUAUUGGCUUAAAGCGUUCGUAGCUUGAUUUUUAAGUCUCUUGGGAAUCUCACGGCUUACUGUGAGCGUCUAGAGAUACUGGGAAUCUAGGGACCGGGA
rnacentral:rRNA from 1 species